rnacentral:rRNA from 1 species
AACGAACGCUGGCGGCAUGCCUAACACAUGCAAGUCGAACGAAGCCUUCGGGCUUAGUGGCGCACGGGUGCGUAACGCGUGGGAAUCUGCCCUUGGGUUCGGAAUAACAGUUAGAAAUGACUGCUAAUACCGAAUGAUGUCUUCGGACCAAAGAUUUAUCGCCCAAGGAUGAGCCCGCGUCGGAUUAGCUAGUUGGUGAGGUAAAGGCUCACCAAGGCGACGAUCCGUAGCUGGUCUGAGAGGAUGAUCAGCCACACUGGGACUGAGACACGGCCCAGACUCCUACGGGAGGCAGCAGUGGGGAAGUAUUGGACAAUGGGCGAAAGCCUGAUCCAGCAAUGCCGCGUGAGUGAUGAAGGCCUUAGGGUUGUAAAGCUCUUUUACCCGGGAUGAUAAUGACAGUACCGGGAGAAUAAGCCCCGGCAACUCCGUGCCAGCAGCCGCGGUAAU